rnacentral:misc_RNA from 1 species
UUUCCGUAGGUGAACCUGCGGAAGGAUCAUUAAAGGACGCCCCGUUUUUUGAAAUGGGUAAUUCUAAACCGUGUAUACAUACCUUUGUUGCUUUGGCAGGCCGCCCCUCAGGGCGUCGGCUCCGGCUGACUGCGCCUGCCAGAGGACCCAAACUCUUUUGUUUAGUGAUGUCUGAGUACUAUAUAAUAGUUAAAACUUUCAACAACGGAUCUCUUGGUUCUG